AUUGAACGCUGGCGGCAGGCCUAACACAUGCAAGUCGAACGAGUGGCGGACGGGUGAGUAAUGUCUGGGAAACUGCCCGAUGGAGGGGGAUAACUACUGGAAACAGUAGCUAAUACCGCAUACCAUCGGAUGUGCCCAGAUGGGAUUAGCUAGUGGGUGGGGUAACGGCUCACCAAGGCGACGAUCCCUAGCUGGUCUGAGAGGAUGACCGGCCACACUGGGACUGAGACACGGUCCAGACUCCUACGGGAGGCAGCAGUGGGGAAUAUUCCGCAAUGGGCGCAAGCCUGACGCAGCCAUGCCGCGUGUAUGAAGAAGGCCUUCGGGUUGUAAAGUACUGUCGGCGGGGAGGCGUUACUCGCAGAGGAAGCACCGGCUAACUCCGUGCCAGCAGCCGCGGUAAUAC
rnacentral:rRNA from 1 species